UACGGAGGGAGCUAGCGUUGUUCGGAAUUAGCGUGGGCGUAAAGCGCACGUAGGCGGCUUGUAAGUUAGAGGUGAAAGCCUGGAGCUCAACUCCAGAAUUGCCUUUAAGACUGCAUCGCUUGAAGUCCAGGAGAGGUGAGUGGAAUUCCGAGUGUAGCGGUGAAAUGCGUAGAUAUCGGGAGGAACACCUGUGGCGAAAGCGGCUCACUGGACCACAACUGACGCUGAGGCGCGAAAGCUAGGGAGCAACAGG
rnacentral:rRNA from 1 species